rnacentral:rRNA from 1 species
AUUGAACGCUGGCGGCAGGCCUAACACAUGCAAGUCGGACGAGUGGCGGACGGGUGAGUAAUGUCUGGGAAACUGCCUGAUGGAGGGGGAUAACUACUUGAAACGGUAGCUAAUACCGCAUACCAUCAGAUGUGCCCAGAUGGGAUUAGCUAGUAGGUGGGGUAACGGCUCACCAAGGCGACGAUCCCUCGCUGGUCUGAGAGGAUGACCAGCCACACUGGAAGUGAGAGACGGGUCAGACUCCUACGGGAGGCAGGAGUGGGGAAUAUUGCACUAUGGGCGCAAGCCUGAGUCAGCCAUGCGGCGUGUAUGAAGAAGGCCUUCGGGUUGUAAAGUACUUUCAGCGGGGAGGCGUUACCCGCAGAAGAAGCACCGGCUAACUCCGUGCCAGCAGCCGCGGUAAUUC